ACGCAGCGAAAUGCGAUAAGUAAUGUGAAUUGCAGAAUUCAGUGAAUCAUCGAAUCUUUGAACGCAUCUUGCGCUCCUUGGUAUUCCGAGGAGCAUGCCUGUUUGAGUGUCAUUA
rnacentral:rRNA from 1 species